rnacentral:rRNA from 1 species
CAGCCGCCGCGGUAAUACGUAGGUGGCAAGCGUUGUCCGGAAUUAUUGGGCGUAAAGGGCUCGCAGGCGGUUUCUUAAGUCUGAUGUGAAAGCCCCCGGCUCAACCGGGGAGGGUCAUUGGAAACUGGGAAACUUGAGUGCAGAAGAGGAGAGUGGAAUUCCACGUGUAGCGGUGAAAUGCGUAGAGAUGUGGAGGAACACCAGUGGCGAAGGCGACUCUCUGGUCCGUAACUGACGCUGAGGAGCGAAAGCGUGGGGAGCGAACAGGAUUAGAUACCCGAGUAGUCCCUGUCUCUUAUAA